rnacentral:rRNA from 1 species
UACGAAGGGGGCUAGCGUUGCUCGGAAUCACUGGGCGUAAAGGGUGCGUAGGCGGUUCUUUAAGUCAGGGGUGAAAUCCUGGAGCUCAACUCCAGAACUGCCUUUGGUACUGAAGAUCUUGAGUUCGGGAGAGGUGAGUGGAACUGCGAGUGUAGAGGUGAAAUUCGUAGAUAUUCGCAAGAACACCAGUGGCGAAGGCGGCUCACUGGCCCGAUACUGACGCUGAGGCACGAAAGCGUGGGGAGCAAACAGG